GGGUUGUGAGGUUAAGCGACUAAGCGUACACGGUGGAUGCCCUGGCAGUCAGAGGCGAUGAAGGACGUGCUAAUCUGCGAUAAGCGUCGGUGAGGUGAUAUGAACCGUUAUAACCGGCGAUUUCCGAAUGGGGAAACCCAGUGUGUUUCGACACACUAUCAUUAACUGAAUCCAUAGGUUAAUGAGGCGAACCGGGGGAACUGAAACAUCUAAGUACCCCGAGGAAAAGAAAUCAACCGAGAUUCCCCCAGUAGCGGCGAGCGAACGGGGAGGAGCCCAGAGCCUGAAUCAGUGUGUGUGUUAGUGGAAGCGUCUGGAAAGGCGCGCGAUACAGGGUGACAGCCCCGUACACAAAAAUGCACAUAUUGUGAGCUCGAUGAGUAGGGCGGGACACGUGGUAUCCUGUCUGAAUAUGGGGGGACCAUCCUCCAAGGCUAAAUACUCCUGACUGACCGAUAGUGAACCAGUACCGUGAGGGAAAGGCGAAAAGAACCCCGGCGAGGGGAGUGAAAAAGAACCUGAAACCGUGUACGUACAAGCAGUGGGAGCCUCUUAAUGGGGUGACUGCGUACCUUUUGUAUAAUGGGUCAGCGACUUAUAUUCUGUAGCAAGGUUAACCGAAUAGGGGAGCCGAAGGGAAACCGAGUCUUAACUGGGCGUUAAGUUGCAGGGUAUAGACCCGAAACCCGGUGAUCUAGCCAUGGGCAGGUUGAAGGUUGGGUAACACUAACUGGAGGACCGAACCGACUAAUGUUGAAAAAUUAGCGGAUGACUUGUGGCUGGGGGUGAAAGGCCAAUCAAACCGGGAGAUAGCUGGUUCUCCCCGAAAGCUAUUUAGGUAGCGCCUCGUGAAUUCAUCUCCGGGGGUAGAGCACUGUUUCGGCAAGGGGGUCAUCCCGACUUACCAACCCGAUGCAAACUGCGAAUACCGGAGAAUGUUAUCACGGGAGACACACGGCGGGUGCUAACGUCCGUCGUGAAGAGGGAAACAACCCAGACCGCCAGCUAAGGUCCCAAAGUCAUGGUUAAGUGGGAAACGAUGUGGGAAGGCCCAGACAGCCAGGAUGUUGGCUUAGAAGCAGCCAUCAUUUAAAGAAAGCGUAAUAGCUCACUGGUCGAGUCGGCCUGCGCGGAAGAUGUAACGGGGCUAAACCAUGCACCGAAGCUGCGGCAGCGACGCUUAUGCGUUGUUGGGUAGGGGAGCGUUCUGUAAGCCUGCGAAGGUGUGCUGUGAGGCAUGCUGGAGGUAUCAGAAGUGCGAAUGCUGACAUAAGUAACGAUAAAGCGGGUGAAAAGCCCGCUCGCCGGAAGACCAAGGGUUCCUGUCCAACGUUAAUCGGGGCAGGGUGAGUCGACCCCUAAGGCGAGGCCGAAAGGCGUAGUCGAUGGGAAACAGGUUAAUAUUCCUGUACUUGGUGUUACUGCGAAGGGGGGACGGAGAAGGCUAUGUUGGCCGGGCGACGGUUGUCCCGGUUUAAGCGUGUAGGCUGGUUUUCCAGGCAAAUCCGGAAAACCAAGGCUGAGGCGUGAUGACGAGGCACUACGGUGCUGAAGUGACAAAUGCCCUGCUUCCAGGAAAAGCCUCUAAGCAUCAGGUAACAUCAAAUCGUACCCCAAACCGACACAGGUGGUCAGGUAGAGAAUACCAAGGCGCUUGAGAGAACUCGGGUGAAGGAACUAGGCAAAAUGGUGCCGUAACUUCGGGAGAAGGCACGCUGAUAUGUAGGUGAAGCGACUUGCUCGUGGAGCUGAAAUCAGUCGAAGAUACCAGCUGGCUGCAACUGUUUAUUAAAAACACAGCACUGUGCAAACACGAAAGUGGACGUAUACGGUGUGACGCCUGCCCGGUGCCGGAAGGUUAAUUGAUGGGGUUAGCGGUAACGCGAAGCUCUUGAUCGAAGCCCCGGUAAACGGCGGCCGUAACUAUAACGGUCCUAAGGUAGCGAAAUUCCUUGUCGGGUAAGUUCCGACCUGCACGAAUGGCGUAAUGAUGGCCAGGCUGUCUCCACCCGAGACUCAGUGAAAUUGAACUCGCUGUGAAGAUGCAGUGUACCCGCGGCAAGACGGAAAGACCCCGUGAACCUUUACUAUAGCUUGACACUGAACAUUGAGCCUUGAUGUGUAGGAUAGGUGGGAGGCUUUGAAGUGUGGACGCCAGUCUGCAUGGAGCCGACCUUGAAAUACCACCCUUUAAUGUUUGAUGUUCUAACGUUGGCCCGUAAUCCGGGUUGCGGACAGUGUCUGGUGGGUAGUUUGACUGGGGCGGUCUCCUCCUAAAGAGUAACGGAGGAGCACGAAGGUUGGCUAAUCCUGGUCGGACAUCAGGAGGUUAGUGCAAUGGCAUAAGCCAGCUUGACUGCGAGCGUGACGGCGCGAGCAGGUGCGAAAGCAGGUCAUAGUGAUCCGGUGGUUCUGAAUGGAAGGGCCAUCGCUCAACGGAUAAAAGGUACUCCGGGGAUAACAGGCUGAUACCGCCCAAGAGUUCAUAUCGACGGCGGUGUUUGGCACCUCGAUGUCGGCUCAUCACAUCCUGGGGCUGAAGUAGGUCCCAAGGGUAUGGCUGUUCGCCAUUUAAAGUGGUACGCGAGCUGGGUUUAGAACGUCGUGAGACAGUUCGGUCCCUAUCUGCCGUGGGCGCUGGAGAACUGAGGGGGGCUGCUCCUAGUACGAGAGGACCGGAGUGGACGCAUCACUGGUGUUCGGGUUGUCAUGCCAAUGGCACUGCCCGGUAGCUAAAUGCGGAAGAGAUAAGUGCUGAAAGCAUCUAAGCACGAAACUUGCCCCGA
rnacentral:rRNA from 1 species